UUUCCAGAUUAUGUCUUGCAAGAAAUCGAAAAAGCUGGCUUCACUGAACCUACACCUAUUCAAGCUCAAGGUUGGCCUAUGGCCUUGAAGGGUCGUGAUCUCAUUGGCAUAGCAGAAACAGGGUCUGGGAAGACAAUUGCUUAUCUAUUGCCUGCAAUUGUGCACGUUAAUGCCCAGCCCAUUUUAGAUCAUGGAGAUGGUCCAAUUGUCUUAGUGUUAGCCCCAACUCGUGAACUUGCUGUUCAGAUUCAACAAGAAGCUACUAAGUUUGGUGCAUCAUCGCGGAUUAAGAAUACCUGCAUUUAUGGUGGGGUUCCAAAGGGGCCCCAAGUUCGUGAUCUUCAGAAAGGUGUUGAAAUUGUUAUUGCCACACCUGGAAGGUUGAUUGAUAUGUUAGAAUCUAAUCAUACAAAUCUUCGAAGAGUGACAUAUCUCGUGCUGGAUGAGGCUGACCGCAUGCUAGACAUGGGUUUUGAACCUCAGAUCCGCAAAAUUGUAUCUCAGAUACGCCCAGAUCGUCAAACGCUGUAUUGGAGUGCCACAUGGCCCAAAGAAGUUGAGCAGCUUGCAAGACAAUUCCUUUUCAAUGCAUACAAAGUAAUUAUUGGUUCAGCUGACCUGAAAGCUAAUCACGCUAUUCGUCAGCAUGUGGAAAUCGUCUCGGAGAGCCAGAAGUAUAAUAAAUUAGUAAAGUUGCUGGAAGAUAUUAUGGAUGGUAGUCGGAUUUUAAUAUUCAUGGACACUAAAAAGGGGUGUGACCAAGUAACUCGGCAGCUCCGGAUGGAUGGUUGGCCGGCACUUUCUAUUCAUGGUGAUAAGAGUCAAGCAGAAAGAGAUUGGGUCCUUUCAGAAUUCAAAGCUGGAAAGUCUCCUAUAAUGACAGCUACAGACGUUGCUGCUCGAGGUCUAGAUGUGAAGGAUGUAAAGUUUGUAAUCAACUAUGAUUUUCCUGGAUCAUUGGAGGACUAUGUUCACCGAAUUGGUAGAACGGGAAGAGCUGGUGCCUCAGGGACAGCAUACACAUUCUUUACUGCAGCGAAUGCUAGGUUUGCGAAGGACCUUGUUAACAUUCUUGAGGAGGCUGGACAGAAAGUCAGUCCUGAAUUGGCAAAAAUGGGACGUGGUGCUCCUCCCCCUCCUGGUCACGGAGGGUUUCGAGACCGUGGAAGGGGUUAUGGAGGCAAUAAGCAGUGGAGCUAGAAAAGACUGGUGGGUACUACCGAAAGGCACAAAAGCUAGUAAUUUUGCCCCAGCCGAUGAAAAUCUAAUUACACAUUUUAUAGCAAUGAGAUCAUGACCCUAUUUAUGUUGCAUGUAUAAUAUGUUUGGAUUAUUUCAGUAGAAGGUGAAAAAGUUAACAAUCUUUAUUUAGUAUUGCUUUCUUUUUUUUGUUACUCUAAAAUUCGUCACGAAUUACUAAAAGUUGUAGUUAUCUGGGAGUGUAUGUUGCAAGUUGCAACUUGCAAGAAACUCGUUAAAACAGUGCAAUUUCAAACUCAAA
rnacentral:misc_RNA from 1 species